ACGAAUCCUUAGAUUCCAACAACUCAGCGCGCUUGCGUAUCACAGCUGUAUUCUCCCGAAGAUACCGUCGUGAUUUUCUACAUUCGACUGGAUUUUUAUUGCAUAUCACAUUGACGGUGUUGUACCAAUGAUGGUGUAUCAAUUGCCACGUUAAACUACCUUCCAAAAGGCCUGCCGCAUAUGCUUGUACUGUGUCCGGAUAUUUUGCCGAUGUUUCAAUUUCAAUGAUAGACCACCUGUGUGUUAACGACAUUUUUUCAAGAGAUUGUAAAAUGACAAGACUACGAAUUAUUAGGAUACCUUGGUACAAGAAGAAACAAAAUUUAGACAAACCCAUUUUCUAAAAUUCCAGUUUUGUAAUAUGCACGUGCGGCAUUUAAUGAAAUAGCAGUAAGAUCAUUGCCUUGGCCCCAAAAGUCAAUACGGCAUCCUCUCUUGUGAUUCCACGAUACAGUUGCCGAGUAUGUCCCAUCUUUCUCAACACUAUAUAUUUAUUUAGAUAUGAAAACUUACUGUCCAAAUUCACCAAGAAUGAUGGCGCCGACGCCAAGAAGAGCGACGGCGACAAGAAUGUACGUGGAGAUGCGCGUUUGCAGCCAAGAAGCGCCCACUACCUUCAGCAUGGCUCAUCGGUAAGCUAAGCACCUUGGUAACGAA
rnacentral:lncRNA from 1 species